AAUUUCAUCUACAAAUUUCUCUAUUUUAAUGCUAAAAACUCUAGAUACUUUCAUGAGAAAUUACUAUAGAUCAAAACAAAGUAUCAAAGCAAUAACCAAUAAAUUAUUGCACAUUCGACGAGUUUGAAUGGUAACCACUAUAAUAGAAAUACAAUUUUGUAUAACUUUGACAGUUAUUAAUCACAAAAACUUUAUUAAAGUGUUACAAAAAGUUUUAUUCUCAGUUUUUUUUACAGCUUUCUUAUACAGCUCUUUCUAACAACUUUCUUAUACAACUUCUUCAGCUUUGCACUAUUCCGAUAAAGCGAACAACUCCAACUAACAGCUAAAAAACUUGUACAAUUUUUGGUUACCAAUCAGACCGACAUAAAAACUUUGUAAGUAACAUACAUAUUUAUAAAUAUAAGUAUUCUUUCAGCUAAAAUUGCAUUUAUAAAUUUUAAUAAAGUUU
rnacentral:sRNA from 1 species